UACGGGAGGCAGCAGUGGGGAAUAUUGCGCAAUGGGCGAAAGCCUGACGCAGCGACGCCGCGUGGGGAUGACGGCCUUCGGGUUGUAAACCUCUUUCAGCAGGGACGAAGCGAAAGUGACGGUACCUGCAGAAGAAGCACCGGCCAACUACGUGCCAGCAGCCGCGGUAAUACGUAGGGUGCAAGCGUUGUCCGGAAUUAUUGGGCGUAAAGAGCUCGUAGGCGGUUUGUUGCGUCGGCUGUGAAAACCUGAGGCUCAACCUCAGGCCUGCAGUCGAUACGAGCAGACUAGAGUGUUGCAGGGGAGACUGGAAUUCCUGGUGUAGCGGUGAAAUGCGCAGAUAUCAGGAGGAACACCGGUGGCGAAGGCGGGUCUCUGGGCAACAACUGACGCUGAGGAGCGAAAGCGUGGGGAGCGGAACAGGGAUUAGAUACC
rnacentral:rRNA from 1 species